GGAUUGAAAUGUAAAUGGUGAGGCCCUCUUGGGUUUGCACUGAGCGGGACCUGAGGAGAGCUGGUGCGCUGUGCCUAAAUUCCUGGCAGGUAAAGAACCCCCCCCCCCCCGCCAUCAUGGCAUGUUGCAGAGAAAUUCUUUAAUUGUUUUAGGUGAUUAUCAGGCACCCAAGCAGGACCUUGAUCAUCCUGGAUGUGGAGUGAGGCGCUGGAGGUGGAAGAAAGCCAAAUUUCUUUCUGGUUAUGACUGCAAGCUAGAAAAGGGUGAUGUCAAACACUUAUCAGCUACUCAUAACAACUUAUUUGCUUUCAGUGUAAUAACAAAGCUUGGAAAUGUCCGGAUUCAACAACACAAGGGAAUUGGCAAAACACGAUGAAGCUCCUGUCCCAUUCAGCUACCUCAGAUUUUGCUUCAGUGUCUAAUUGUGAUCAUUUUACACAUCCUGCCUCCUUUGACUGACAGUCAUCAAGAGUAAAGGGUCAAAUUGUCUUAGUCCUAUAUUUCAGAGAAACAGAGUAGGUUGCAACACAAGUAUGACAACUCAAACAAUGCAUGUAUUUCCUAUUUUUUUUCCUGAUUAUUGGAGGCAUUUUUGACCCAAGAGAAAUACAGUAAGUCUGUUUUAUUCUCACUGUCUGUGUUGGAACAAGUGAACAGGUCUUUAGGUAUAUAGUUUGUUUUGAAGGCCAUUAAAGCAGCUGCAAACUUCAAACAAGAUGUAAGACAGUUGCUCUUUGUUCAGACUAAUGACAUAAAUCCCUCAAACAAUUUGUAAAAAAAAAAAAAAUAAAAUAAAUAAAAGUGAAGUAGCACUUUCAGAAGAUGGAUGUAUUUGCAGGAGGAGAGAAUGACAGAUCACAAACCCCUUGGGAAACAGAAAUAAAUGGAACAAAGUAGCGGGAUGAGGUUUUACUGCACAUACAGAUUAAAGUCUUUACCAAGCUAUUGCCAUACUGAUAUCAUUAAACCAAAAUGGUCCUUGCAUUCACAGGCCAUCCUGUUUUCAACAUACUGCUACUAGUAUUUUGUUACCAGGAUCCUUCCAUGAAAUUAUUUGCAAUUAUGUCAUAUCUGAAAGCCAAGGCUCUGAAUCAAGACUAAAUUUAUUCAUUGCCAGGUUGUAUCCAUUUCAGUUUGGCCAGCACUGUCCUUUAACUUAAUCAGCUCUUCUUGCUGCCUAGUAUUUCAUCUGUGAGGUAUUUAUAGACAGCCCUUUUCAAUCUUCUUUAGAUAACGUAAGCCAAGAAUGUUUGGUCUCCUCUUGUUAGGGUGUCACCAGUGCUGUGGUCAUUUUAAUUCCCCCUUGCUUAUGUUCCAGUCAAAAUUUAACAUCCUUAAGCAAUGUUGACCAGAAAUAGAUAUGAUAUUCCAGAUGAGAAGGGAUAACGAUGAAGCUAUUUCACUAUUGCAUACCAUGUGUUGAUUUUUCUUCUCUCCUGAUGAUUUCCCACAGCUGAUAUUCUGCUAAUAGCAGAAAUACUUACCUGUCACCAGGUGGAUGAUCUUCCAUUUGCAGUGCUGAAUUUCAUCUAUCCACAUAGGCAACUCCAUUCCCAGUCUCCAAAUGUUUCCAGUAUGAUAUUUCAAAAAUCAUUACAGUAACAAUGUUGCUCAGCUCUACAGCCAUUAGUGAAAGUCAAUAGCACAGCAUGUGCCAGAGUAAUUAAUGAAAAUAUUAAACAAAGUCAGUCCCAGGACUAAUUUUUAAAGAACUCCACUGGCAAGCUUCUUUCAGCAUAAUGAUUCCUUUAAAUUAUCUGCAGCUUUCUCUCCUCUAAUGAGUCCCACAGCUGCCUUGUAGUUCUUGUUCUAAUUCCCAUUUUCAUUGGUUUAAUAAUAUUUCACACUGUGCAGUAUCAGAAACUUUAUUUAGAUCCAGCAAGAUUAGAUACACUAAAUUUUCUCUAGUAAUUUUAUACCAAAUUCAGAGGGGCAUGCACAAAGCCCUCUGUUCAUCAGGAAGGCCCAGGUCUGAUACAGUAAGUUAAUUUUAGUUGGGAUUCUCACACUGAAUUACUAAAUGAGUACAGAUUAAGUUUUAUAAAAUUGUACUUGCAUAGAAAUCACAAUUAGAAAAAUGUUUAUAUUUUCAUGUAUGGAUAAUACAUGAGAACUAACUUGUAAUUAGUACUUUUUUAUAACAAUUGUAAUGUUUCAAAUGUACUUGAAUAAGUACAGAAACUGACAUUGCUGAAAUCUAAUUUUUAAAUUUCUAUAGAUGAUCACUCAUAACUGUAGAAACACUACUUUGUUUUUCAGGGUGACCAAAUUGAGUUAAGAUUCUAUCUUGUUGGUAGUUACUGGUAUAAACUGACUAAUUGGAGUGUAGUUGUUCCCAGCUUCUUCCAGUGAAAAAGACAUUGGACUUGGGCUCACUGUUACACUCUUUUUCAAUUACCUCUCACUAUAUUGGAACUUUGAAAAUGUUGGAUCAGAAAAAUAAUGGUGUAUUCUGCAUUUAGCCAUGAAAAACUAGGUUAAGAAAGGUUUGCCUGUUUACAGGGUAGGAUGUUAAUAAGGAUUAAUUGAUGUCAUCCCUCCUCUCUAAUGGCUCUACCUGCCUUAUUUUUUCUCAUUAGACAGUGGAGUUAAAUAGCUGUGAUCUGACCUUGCCAUAACAGUUAGCUCUACGCGAUGUAGGUGGAAACAAAGCAGGUUUGUAAUUGCAAUGAGGUACGUUCUUUCCGUAAAUUUCAUCAGGGCUAGAACAUUACUUGUUGGGCUGGUUAUACCGUGCGUAACCACAGUCCUUUCCCACAGGAUGGACCAAGCAGUGGAGUAACAAAGGUAUUUUAUGUAAUUAUAUGUUAUUCCGUGACUCUGAAAACAUUAACUAUGUAGUGUGGUUUUCUGCUACAAUCCUUGUCUGUGUGAAGUGAUGGUACCUCCUUUGGCUGUUUCCUGGUGGAAAAAAAAGGUAAGGAAAGCUCUGCAUUGCAGGGUUUUGGAGGACAGAGCAGAUGAGACUGCCAUUUGAAUCAGUCUCUGAAGCCUUUCUGUUGCAAGGCCACCCAUGGAAAUGUUGGAUGCUUAUUGCCUUAUUGAAGCAUGUUUUAGCUUCAGGAGUAGGCAGUACUGCAAUUUCUUUUCUACCACAGUUUUUUUUUUUUUUACAUUUACUUUUUUUUGUUUGUUUGUUUUUUUAAAUCAAGAUUAAUCUAUUAAUGAUAUUUCCUGUAAUUGUACAUGACGAUUUCCUGCUUCUGUUAUUUCUGUACUGCAAACUUCCUCUACUAGCUUCACGGUCUGUUCUUGUCAGAACUCUGUUCUGCUCUUGGUAUGAACCAGAAUAUCCAGUUGCCUCAACUCUAAAUUUGCCAUUGACCAACAUGAAAGGAAAAAAAGUUAUCUGAUAUAGGAAAUCAAAUAGUUAAUAAAAUAUAGACAUAGCAAACGCUUCUAUAUCAUUUGAGGUUUAUUAAGAUAUAAGCCUUUCUAAAUUCCAUACACAUUUUGAAGCUUGUUUACAUCACAUUAUUACUUUUUUUUUUUUUCCUCAGAGAAAAUAGCAUUGUUGAUCCCUUUAUUUUUCUGAUAGCAUCUUAAGGCUGUAUUCACAAUGAGCACCACAAAUGCCAUCUACAGUUCUGAGUAGAAAUGAGAGACUUGACCUGCGUCAUAGCUCACAUUUAGAGGCUCGCUUAUCAAGUGGGAUAUGACUAUGAGACCCUGAGAUAUGAGUGAAUGUCUAAAUUUAUCACCAACAGUCCUUUUUCCACAGUCUUGACACAUGAUGUCACACUGUCGGUUACAUCUCUAAUGACUAGUGCACCCAUACAAUGAGUAUGAUUUUAACAUGACAGUAUAAUAGAAGCUAAACAACAAAUUGUGAGGCAACUCCCUAAGAUACAUCCCUUGUUUUAUGCAGCAUUUAUACUUCAAAAGUAAGUGUUGAUAUGCUUACUCUUCAUUUUAUGUUAGUGGUAUGUUAAGGGUUCAAGGAAGUAGAUACUCUACAGAAUAAAGGGUCAUCAUAAGGCCAUCACAAAGAAGAUGGCAUCAACAGAAGAAAAAAGAGACUGGGAAUGGAAAGAGCAGAAUUGGUUCUUGUGGCAGUGCUGUUAGUUCAUGAUGUCUUCACAAGUUCAUUUAACUAUACGCUGAAUAACUUACCUGUAAGCUGGUAAUUUUAUGAAAGGAAUGAUGUGAUCACCUGCAGCAACAAAAGAUAAAAUGAAUGAUUUGGGAUGUUCUUUCUAGUUCCAGCUCAUGUAUUUCUUCCCUGUCUUGGAGGAUCCUUGGUUUAUAUCCAUAGUAUGUAUAUAUUUUUCUAUUAUUUUUUAACUUUGUCCUUGACAUACUACUUUAAAUUAUUAAUAAAAAAUAAGCAUCUCAUUGUCCAAUUAUGUACAAAGAGCUAUGAAUUCAUGAAAUACUUCAGCCAGAAAUAUCUUUGGCUGAAGGACAGUUACGUUACCAAGAAGAAAAAAAAAAGGCUCUGGAAAUGCUUAUUCAAUGUCAUUCAAUACAUCAUUUAAGCUAGCUUCUCUCCCCUUCUUCACUAAUAAAUGAUCCUGCUGAUGUAAUUAA